CUUGCUUCUCUGAUCAGUGGCGAACGGGUGAGUAACACGUGAGCAAUCUGCCCUUGACUCUGGGAUAAGCGUUGGAAACGACGUCUAAUACCGGAUACGACCUUGGAAGGCAUCUUCUGGGGUGGAAAGAAUUUUGGUCAAGGAUGAGCUCGCGGCCUAUCAGCUAGUUGGUGAGGUAAUGGCUCACCAAGGCGACGACGGGUAGCCGGCCUGAGAGGGUGACCGGCCACACUGGGACUGAGACACGGCCCAGACUCCUACGGGAGGCAGCAGUGGGGAAUAUUGCACAAUGGGCGAAAGCCUGAUGCAGCAACGCCGCGUGAGGGACGACGGCCUUCGGGUUGUAAACCUCUUUUAGUAGGGAAGAAGCGUAACAGUGACGGUACCUGCAGAAAAAGCACCGGCUAACUACGUGCCAGCAGCCGCGGUAAUACGUAGGGUGCAAGCGUUGUCCGGAAUUAUUGGGCGUAAAGAGCUCGUAGGCGGUUUGUCGCGUCUGCUGUGAAAACCCGAGGCUCAACCUCGGGCCUGCAGUGGGUACGGGCAGACUAGAGUGCGGUAGGGGAGAUUGGAAUUCCUGGUGUAGCGGUGGAAUGCGCAGAUAUCAGGAGGAACACCAAUGGCGAAGGCAGAUCUCUGGGCCGUAACUGACGCUGAGGAGCGAAAGCAUGGGGAGCGAACAGGAUUAGAUACCCUGGUAGUCCAUGCCGUAAACGUUGGGAACUAGAUGUGGGGACCAUUCCACGGUCUCCGUGUCGCAGCUAACGCAUUAAGUUCCCCGCCUGGGGAGUACGGCCGCAAGGCUAAAACUCAAAGGAAUUGACGGGGGCCCGCACAAGCGGCGGAGCAUGCGGAUUAAUUCGAUGCAACGCGAAGAACCUUACCAAGGCUUGACAUAUAGAGGAAACGGCUGGAAACAGUCGCCCCGCAAGGUCUCUAUACAGGUGGUGCAUGGUUGUCGUCAGCUCGUGUCGUGAGAUGUUGGGUUAAGUCCCGCAACGAGCGCAACCCUCGUCCUAUGUUGCCAG
rnacentral:rRNA from 1 species